AUGAACGCUAGCUACAGGCCUAACACAUGCAAGUCAGGGCAGCACUGAGGAGCUUGCUUUCUCUGGUGGCGACCGGCGGAUGGGUGAGCAACGCGUAUCCAACCUGGCCUGCGCGCGGGGAUAGCCCUUGGAAAUGAGGAUUAACACCCGAUACGCCUUUUGCCCGCAUGGGCAUUUGGUGAAUCUUGCGCAGGAUGGGGAUGCGUAUGAUUAGCUUGUUGGCGGGGUAACGGCCCACCAAGGCGACGAUCAUUAGGGGUUCUGAGAGGAAGGUCCCCCACACUGGAACUGAGACACGGUCCAGACUCCUACGGGAGGCAGCAGUGAGGAAUAUUGGUCAAGUGGAGGCAACUCUGAACCAGCCAAGUAGCGUGCAGGAUGACGGCCCUAUGGGUUGUAAACUGCUUUUAUGCGGGGAUAAAUGAUCCUACGUGUAGGAUUUUGCAGGUACCGCAUGAAUAAGGACCGGCUAAUUCCGUG
rnacentral:rRNA from 1 species